UACGUAGGGGGCCAGCGUUGUUCGGAAUUACUGGGUGUAAAGGGUUCGUAGGCGGUGCGGCAAGUUGGGAGUGAAAUCUCUGGGCUCAACCCAGAGACGGCGUCCAAAACUGCCGUGCUUGAGUGUGAGAGAGGCUCGUGGAAUUGCAGGUGUAGCGGUGAAAUGCGUAGAUAUCUGCAGGAACACCCGUGGCGAAAGCGGCGAGCUGGAUCACUACUGACGCUGAGGAGCGAAAGCCAGGGGAGCAAACGGG
rnacentral:rRNA from 1 species